GGGCCCGCACAAGCAGUGGAGUAUGUGGUUUAAUUCGAAGCAACGCGAAGAACCUUACCAGGGCUUGACAUCCUACUAACGAAGUAGAGAUACAUUAGGUGCCCUUCGGGGAAAGUAGAGACAGGUGGUGCAUGGUUGUCGUCAGCUCGUGUCGUGAGAUGUUGGGUUAAGUCCCGCAACGAGCGCAACCCUUACGGUUAGUUGCUACGCAAGAGCACUCUAGCCGGACUGCCGUUGACAAAACGGAGGAAGGCGGGGACGACGUCAAAUCAUCAUGCCCCUUAUGUCCUGGGCUACACACGUACUACAAUGGCGGCCAUACAAUGGGUCGCGACGCAGCGAUGCGAAGCCAAUCCUUAAAAAGCCGCCUCAGUUCAGAUUGCAGGCUGAAACUCGCCUGCAUGAAGUCGGAAUUGCUAGUAAUCGCGGAUCAGCAUGCCGCGGUGAAUACG
rnacentral:rRNA from 2 species